CCUGGUAGCGGGGGGUAACUAUUGGAAACGAUAGCUAAUACCGCAUAAUAUUGAUUAUUGCAUGAUAAUUGAUUGAAAGAUGCAACUGCAUCACUACCAGAUGGACCUGCGUUGUAUUAGCUAGUAGGUGAGGUAACGGCUCACCUAGGCGACGAUACAUAGCCGACCUGAGAGGGUGAUCGGCCACACUGGGACUGAGACACGGCCCAG
rnacentral:rRNA from 1 species